UGGAAUAAUAGCCAAGUCCAUUUUAUUGCA
rnacentral:piRNA from 1 species